UACGUAGGGGGCAAGCGUUGUCCGGAUUUAUUGGGCGUAAAGAGCUCGUAGGCGGCUUGUCACGUCGGGUGUGAAAGCCCGGGGCUUAACCCCGGGUCUGCAUUCGAUACGGGCAGACUAGAGGUAUGCAGGGGAGAACGGAAUUCCUGGUGUAGCGGUGAAAUGCGCAGAUAUCAGGAGGAACACCGGUGGCGAAGGCGGUUCUCUGGGCAUUACCUGACGCUGAGGAGCGAAAGUGUGGGGAGCGAACAGG
rnacentral:rRNA from 1 species